rnacentral:rRNA from 1 species
GAUGAACGCUGGCGGCGUGCCUAACACAUGCAAGUCGAGCGAAGCGGGGACGGGUGAGUAACACGUGGAUAACCUCCUAUAAGACUGGGAUAACUUCGGGAAACCGGAGCUAAACCGGAUUCUGUUAGCUGGUUCCGUGGGGUAUUAGCUAGUUGGUAAGGUAACGGCUUACCAAGGCAACGACCCAUAGCCGACCUGAGAGGGUGAUCGGCCACACUGGAACUGAGACACGGUCCAGACUCCUACGGGAGGCAGCAGUAGGGAAUCUUCCGCAAUGGGCGAAAGCCUGACGGAGCCACGCCGCGUGUGUGAAGAAGGUCUUCGGGUCGUAAAGCUCUGUUAUUAGGGAGGCGGUACCUAAUCAGAAAGCCACGGCUAACUACGUGCCAGCAGCCGCGGUAAUUC